rnacentral:siRNA from 1 species
UAUUUGCACAGGUGAGAAAUCUGC